UGAGCGUGACCCCGGCUUAGUGAGCUGCCUGAGAAACCGGCCACAGCCGGUGUAUAGCAGGUGGAUAGGUGAGGAGGUGGAAGCACAGAGGGCUAACUGUCCUGAAGUCACAUGACUGAAAUGUCACUCACAGCCAGGAGUCAAACUUGUUUGUUAUAAUUACCAUAGUUAACUUGAUUUUAAAAAAGGAGAAAUAGAAUUUUUUUUCUCUUUAAAGUCACAAUGUAUAGAAUGGUGUUAAGAGACAUGAACUAGGCUCAGAAAGCCAAAUAGCGCUUUUUUUUUUCUCUGUAAUCCUGGCUGUCCUGGAACUCGUUCUGUAGAACGGAUUGUCCUGGAACUCAGAGAGCUCCUCCUACCUCUGCCUCCCGAGUGCUGGGAUUAAAGCUAUGUGCCAUCACCACCCUGCAAAUCUUUCUUAUAUUUACUGGUGGGUGCACAAGCAAGCCUCAUGUUCUACAGGGUGAGUGUGGGGGGUCAGAGGACAACCUGCAGGAGUUGGUUCUCUCCAUCUACUGUCCAUCUAUGUCCAGACAUAGAACUUGGACCAUUGAGUGGCAAAUACCCUUUACCUGCAGCGCCGUCUCACCUGCCUGAGAUUCUCUUACAAGACACAAAGGGAAAGGGAAAUGUUGGGGAAGAAGGAGGGAGCCAACAGAAGGCAGGGGACAGAGAAUAAUGGGGUGACUAUGAUCAAAUAUAUACAUGUAUGGAGCGAUCAUAAUACAACCCAUGUAAUUAAUAUAUAUGCCAACCUAAAAGCUUUUUAAGUCUUCACAGUAACUAAAGAUUAAAUAAACUAAAACAGUUCAUAUCAAUCACUGUCAAAACAUAACCAAGGCAUUUUAACCCUGUCUGACCAAGAAACGGAUUUAUAAUCAGCAACAGCCUGCCACUGUCACUACUGUUUGAGAAGUCUUUGGGGUGUGGGGUUGGGGCAGAAAAGGAAAUAUAUUCAAAGUACGUUACACAUUUGCAUGGAAAUGGCCUUAUGUGACCCUGUAAAAAUAACCAAGU
rnacentral:lncRNA from 1 species